UACGUAGGGGGCAAGCGUUAUCCGGAAUUACUGGGUGUAAAGGGAGCGUAGACGGUAAUGUAAGUCUGGAGUGAAAGGCGGGGGCCCAGCCCCCGGACUGCUCUGGAAACUAUGUUACUAGAGUGCAGGAGAGGUAAGCGGAAUUCCUAGUGUAGCGGUGAAAUGCGUAGAUAUUAGGAGGAACACCAGUGGCGAAGGCGGCUUACUGGACUGUAGCUGACGUUGAGGCUCGAAAGCGUGGGGAGCAAACAGG
rnacentral:rRNA from 1 species